GGGCGUUUGGUGAAUAUGGUAUCACGUUCGGUUUGCAACAAUACAGCAAUAUUUCAAUACUCCGAAAGAUGACGAGAUCGAUACUCGUAACGUCCA